rnacentral:rRNA from 1 species
CCUACGGGACGCUGCAGUGGGGAAUAUUGGACAAUGGGCGAAAGCCUGAUCCAGCCAUGCCGCGUGUGUGAAGAAGGCCUUCGGGUUGUAAAGCACUUUCAGUGGGGAAGAAAGCCUUGGGGCUAAUACCCUCGAGGAAGGACAUCACCCACAGAAGAAGCACCGGCUAACUCCGUGCCAGCAGCCGCGGUAAUACGGAGGGUGCGAGCGUUAAUCGGAAUUACUGGGCGUAAAGCGCGCGUAGGCGGUCUGAUAAGCCGGUUGUGAAAGCCCCGGGCUCAACCUGGGAACGGCAUCCGGAACUGUCAGGCUAGAGUGCAGGAGAGGAAGGUAGAAUUCCCGGUGUAGCGGUGAAAUGCGUAGAGAUCGGGAGGAAUACCAGUGGCGAAGGCGGCCUUCUGGACUGACACUGACGCUGAGGUGCGAAAGCGUGGGUAGCAAACAGGAUUAGAUACCCCUGUAGUC